AUGCUGCUGGAGCACGGCUGGGGUGAGCCUGCUCCUGGUGCCAUGGGAUUUUGGGAUUUUCCUGGGUUAAAAUUUAGGGGAACGGAAUUCCACCUUUUCCUUAAAUGUCAGCAUUCACAGAAUCCCAGAAUCCCAGGAUCCCAGAAUCCCAGAAUCCCAGGAUCCCAGAAUCCCAGAAUCCCAGGAUCCCAGGACCCCAGAAUCCCAGAAUCCCAGGACCCCAGAAUCCCAGGAUCCCAAGAUCCCAGAAUCCCAGGAUCCCAGAAUCCCAGGAUCAGCCCAACCUUGAUCCCAAAACCCCAAAUCUCAGCAGUCCAAACCCCUGUCCCAAUCUCCAGGAUAAACAGGCGGUGCCCAGAACAGGUUUUUUUAGUGAAUAAUCCAAAUUUCCAGCUCAGUUUUGCUCAGGGGUUUGCUCCCAGGGAAUUUUUGGGAUCCACACAUCCCCGGGUGCUCGGCUGCGCUGGAAUUCGCCGUUUUUCCCGGCUGGAUGAUUCCAGGGCUGGUUUUCCCCAUCCUGGAGGCUCAGAGAGCUCCCCUAUUCGUGAUGUGGGAUCGGGAAUGCUGCAGGAGAAGGGACCUGCUGAAAUUAAAGCCUGGUUCUUACUAAUCCCGGUCUUUGCGGCUCCAGCUCUGCUGAAGUCGGGGAUUAUCCCGAGCGCCGCCCCGCACGCUGGGCCAGCACGAGCCAGGCAGCCGGGAAUUAAUCUCCUGGAGGUUCUGCUGAUCCCAUUCCCCUGGGAAUGGGGGCUGGGGGGGGUUGAGGGGCUGGGGACACGGAUGGGACAGGGACAGGGACAGGACAGGGACAUGAGGGUCUGGGGGACACGGAUGGGACAGGGACAGAGACUCGAGGGGCUGGGGACACAGAUGGGACAGGGACAGGGACAGGGACAGGGACAGGACAGGGACAGGGACAGGAGGGGCUGGGGACACGGAUGGGACAGGGACAGGAUGGGGAUGGGACAGGGACAGGGGCAGGACAGGGACAUGAGGGUCUGGGGGACACGGAUGGGACAGGGACAGGAUGGGGACAGGACAGGGACACAAGGGGCUGGGGGACAGGGACAGGACAAGGACAGGGACACAAGGGGCUGGGGACACAGGAUGGGGACAGGGACAGGGGGACAGAGAUGA
rnacentral:lncRNA from 1 species